rnacentral:rRNA from 1 species
UACGUAGGGACCAAGCGUUGUUCGGAUUUACUGGGCGUAAAGGGCGCGUAGGCGGCGCGGUAAGUCACUUGUGAAAUCUCUGAGCUUAACUCAGAACGGCCAAGUGAUACUGCAGUGCUAGAGUGUGGAAGGGGCAAUCGGAAUUCUUGGUGUAGCGGUGAAAUGCGUAGAUAUCAAGAGGAACACCUGAGGUGAAGACGGGUGCUGGGCCAACACUGACGCUGAGGCGCGAAAGCCAGGGGAGCAAACGGG